GCGUGAGUGAUGAAGGCCUUAGGGUUGUAAAGCUCUUUUAGUAGGGAAGAUAAUGACGGUACCUACAGAAAAAGCCCCGGCUAACUCCGUGCCAGCAGCCGCGGUAAGACGGAGGGGGCUAGCGUUGUUCGGAAUUACUGGGCGUAAAGAGCGCGUAGGCGGUUUAAUAAGUUGGAAGUGAAAGCCCGGAGCUUAACUUCGGAAUUGCUUUCAAAACUAUUAAACUAGAGUAUGGUAGGGGGUGAUGGAAUUCCUAGUGUAGAGGUGAAAUUCUU
rnacentral:rRNA from 1 species